AGUAUGACCCCGAAAAAUGGAUACACACACCUGAGAGCUAUACAUUCUAUUACAUUUUGACAAUGAAGUGUAUUUUAAUAAACACUGCCUUCAAAGUGUGUAUAUAUUUGGGGGGAU